CAGGUGGUGCAUGGUUGUCGUCAGCUCGUGUCGUGAGAUGUUGGGUUAAGUCCCGCAACGAGCGCAACCCUUGUCUUUAGUUGCCAUCAUUAAGUUGGGCACUCUAGAGAGACUGCCAGGGAUAACCUGGAGGAAGGUGGGGAGGACGUCAAAUCAUCAUGCCCCUUAUGCUUAGGGCUACACACGUGCUACAAUGGGUAGUACAGAGGGUUGCCAAGCCGUAAGGUGGAGCUAAUCCCUUAAAGCUACUCUCAGUUCGGAUUGUAGGCUGAAACUCGCCUACAUGAAGCUGGAGUUACUAGUAAUCGCAGAUCAGAAUGCUGCGGUGAAUGCGUUCCCGGGUCUUGUACACACCGCCCGUCACACCACGGGAGUUGGAGACGCCCGAAGCCGAUUAUCUAACCUUUUGGAAGAAGUCGUCGAAGGUGGAAU
rnacentral:rRNA from 1 species